UAUCAGAACCUAACUGACCUGAGGAAAAGAAAUACUCAACUCCAGCAAGCUCCAGCCUUCCAAAUGGAGGAGGAGAAAACCCAACUCCAGCCCACUUCAGCUAUCUUGUCCCACAUAAAGGGGAAGUGGAAGAAACCUGAGAAGCAGGCAUGAAGUUCACAGUCCAGACCAUUCUACACAAUUCCACAUCUCCCCGGCCACAUCAGCCUGAGAGUAAUAAACAGACCUUGCCAUCGUAUCCCCUUUUGGAGACACAAGCCAGGAAGGAAGCUCUUCAGUGCAGCUGUGAAUAGAGAAAUGCUGGCUGAGGUUUUGGAGACACUGGGUGAUCAUUCCCAGUGAAAUUUUUAGAUCCCUGGGGACAUGAGCUGCUUUGUCUUUUCCAAGGUCAGGAUAAACAGAAUAACUUCAGGCUUCUCUACCCAGAAAGAACAUGUGGCAUAAAUAUCAACUGCAGAAUAAAUAUGAUUAAUCUGGUACAUGGACGAAGAUGUUUUCUAGGAGAUGCUUAUCCUGGGAUGAGAGCUUUCAUAAGCAUUGAUAUUUACAUGACUCUUACCGUGUGUCAGGAACUGUUCUAAUUGUUUUA
rnacentral:lncRNA from 1 species